rnacentral:misc_RNA from 1 species
UGCAACUAUAUGUGAUCUCUAUUUAUUGUUUGAUGCUAUAUUCUUGAGAUGUUUGUGGAUAUGCAGAUCAAAUGCAUGUCAGUAACUAUAUGAUCACUAUCUAUUAUUUGGAUGCUAUAUUUUUUAGAUGUUUUUGGCUAUCCAGAUCAAGUUCAUUAACUAUAUGAUCACUUAUGAUUUUUGUUUUUUCCUUUGCACUUUUCUAUGUCCAUGUUUUUUUCGAUCACUUCAUUUACUGCUUUAAAA